GUAGGUGGCAAGCGUUAUCCGGAAUUAUUGGGGCGUAAAGCGCUCGCAGGCGGUCUUUUAAGUCUGAUGUGAAAGCCCACGGCUCAACCGAGGAGGGGUCAUUGGAAACUGGGAGACUUGAGUGCAGAAGAGGAGAGUGGAAUUCCACGUGUAGCGGUGAAAUGCGUAGAGAUGUGGAGGAUCACCAGUGGCGAAGGCGACUCUCUGGUCUGUAACUGACGCUGAGGAGCGAAAGCGUGGGGAGCGAACAGGAUUAGAUACCCUGGUAGUCCACGCCGUAAACGAUGAGUGCUAAGUGUUAGAGGGUUUCCGCCCUUUAGUGCUGCAGCAAACGCAUUAAGCACUCCGCCUGGGGAGUACGGUCGCAAGACUG
rnacentral:rRNA from 1 species